UCAACACCACCAACAUUGUGACUCACACCUCCUCACUACCAUCACCACCAUCAACACCAUCAUCACCACCACCACUGUGACUCCCACCUCCUCACCACCAUCACCACCAUCAACACCACCAACAUUGUGACUCACACCUCCUCACUACCAUCACCACCAUCAACACCACCACCAUUGUGACUCCCACCUCCUCACCACCAUCAACACCAUCAUCACCACCACCAUUGUGACUCCCACCUCCUCACCACCAUCAACACCAUCAUCACCACCACCAUUGUGACUCCCACCUCCUCACCACCGUCAACACCAUCAUCACCACCACCAUUGUGACUCCCACCUCCUCACCACCGUCAACACCAUCAUCACCACCACCACUGUGACUCCCACCUCCUCACUACCAUCACCGCCAUCAACACCACCAACAUUGUGACUCACACCUCCUCACUACCAUCACCACCAUCAACACCAUCAUCACCACCACCACUGUGACUCCCACCUCCUCACCACCAUCACCACCAUCAACACCACCAACAUUGUGACUCACACCUCCUCACUACCAUCACCACCAUCAACACCACCACCAUCAUCACCAUCACCAUUGUGACUCCCAUCUCCUCACCACCAUCACCACCAUCAACACUGACACCAUUGUGACUCCCACCUCCUCACCACCAGCAACACCAUCAUCACCACCAACAUUGUGACUCCCACCUCCUCACCACCAUCACCACCAUCAACACCACCAACAUUGUGACUCACACCUCCUCACUACCAUCACCACCAUCAACACCACCACCAUCAACACCGCCACCAUUGUGACUCCCAUCUCCUCACCACCAUCACCACCAUCAACACCACCAUUGUGACUCCCAUCUCCUCACCACCAUCACCACCAUCAACACUGCCAACAUUGUGACUCCCACCUCCUCACCACCAUCACCACCAACACCACCACCAUUGUGACUCCCAUCUUCUCACCACCAUCACCACCAUCAACACCGCCAACAUUGUGACUCCCACCUCCUCACCAACAUCAACACCAUCAUCACCACCACCAUCAUCACCAUCACCAUUGUGACUCCCACUUCCUCACCACCAUCAACACUGACACCAUUGUGACUCCCACCUCCUCACCACCAUCACCACCCUCAUCACCACCACCAUUGUGACUCCCACCUCCUCACCACCAUCACCACCAUCAACACUGACACCAUUGUGACUCCCACUUCCUCAUCACCAUCACCACCCUCGUCACCACCACCAUUGUGACUCCCACCUCCUCACCACCAUCACCACCGACACCAUUGUGACUCCCGCCUCAUCACCACCGUCAACACCAUCAUCACCACCACCAUUGUGACUCCCACCUCCUCACCACCGUCAACACCAUCAUCACCACCACCAUUGUGACUCCCACCUCCUCACCACCAUCACCACCAACAACACCACCACCAUUGUGACUCCCACCUCCUCACCACCAUCAACACCAUCAUCACCACCACCAUUGUGACUCCCACCUCCUCACCACCAACACCGCCACCAUUGUGACUCCCACCUCCUCACCACCACCACCACCAUCAACACCACCAACAUUGUGACUCUCACCUCACCACCAUCAACACCAUCAACACCACCAUUGUGACUCCCACCUCCUCAUCACCAUCACCACCAUCAACACCACCAUUGUGACUCCCACCUCCUCAUCACCAUCCCACCAUCAAUGAUGCUAUCAUUGACUCAGUAUUCACCAUUUUCCAGGCACCAUUUUAAGUAUAUGACAUAUCUUAACUCAUGGUCAUAAAAAUCCUGUGAGCUAUGCAGCAUUAUUAUCCCAAUUUACAGAAAAGAAAGUGAGGCACAGAGAAGCAACUGAACCUGUGACUCACCCCCUAAAUGCCACCGGCAGGAUGUGGAGAUCGCCACUGAUGGAG